AUGGCUCAGGACGAACGCUGGCGGCGUGCUUAACACAUGCAAGUCGAGCGGAGAAUAUAGCAAUAUAUUCUUAGCGGCGGACGGGUGAGUAACGCGUGGGCAAUCUGCCUCAUACAGGGGGAUAACACUGGGAAACUAGUGCUAAUACCGCAUAAAAUAGUGAAGUGGCAUCACUUUACUAUCAAAGGAGCAAUCCGGGUGUGAGAUGAGCCCGCGUCCGAUUAGCUAGUUGGAGGGGUAACGGCCCACCAAGGCGACGAUCGGUAGCCGAACUGAGAGGUUGAUCGGCCACAUUGGGACUGAGACACGGCCCAGACUCCUACGGGAGGCAGCAGUGGGGAAUAUUGCGCAAAGUGGGGGAAACCCUGACGCAGCAACGCCGCGUGAAGGAUGAAGGUUUUCGGAUUGUAAACUUCUUUGAUUGGGGACGAUAAUGACGGUACCCAAAAAACAAGCCACGGCUAACUACGUGCCAGCCGCAGC
rnacentral:rRNA from 1 species